AGUAAUUGAUCGGAUCAUCAGUUGAAGUCGAACUGCCUGAGACUUAAGAAUACAUAUUCGGAAUGAAAUUUCAAGUAGCGCUACUUUUGUUAUUAGCUUCCAUUGCAUUGGCAACGGGCUUUGUGGCGCCCAAUUGUCCACAUUGGACUAAAUGCUGGAAGGAUUAUAAAAGCGGAAGGAUUAGAUAUUAGAUUUCAAUUGCAAUUUAAUUUUAUAAUUUUGUUAUUUAAUAACUUGUAGUUCUAUUUCAAAAAAUGUUGUCGUGUUGUAAAUUAUCAUUUGUAAUUUGAAUAUUAAACGAAAUUGUCAAAUCAAUUGGAAAUCAAAUGAAAACGAAUUGAGGGACAUUUAAACCCAUUUUCCAUUAGGCUUAUGUGCUUAAUUAAGCGUUAAGGCUAUUAGUGUCGCAUAUAUACUCGUAUAGGGUACAUCAUCAACUUUGUAGUCCCAACAAAUUUUCGCAAUGAAAAUCCAAUGAAAUAAAGCUUAAUGCAAAAAUAAA